AGACCCGAAACCCGGUGAUCUAGCCAUGGGCAGGUUGAAGGUUGGGUAACACUAACUGGAGGACCGAACCGACUAAUGUUGAAAAAUUAGCGGAUGACCUGUGGCUGGGGGUGAAAGGCCAAUCAAACCGGGAGAUAGCUGGUUCUCCCCGAAAGCUAUUUAGGUAGCGCCUCGUGAAUUCAUCUCCGGGGGUAGAGCACUGUUUCGGCUAGGGGGCCAUCCCGGCUUACCAACCCGAUGCAAACUGCGAAUACCGGAGAAUGUUAUCACGGGAGACACACGGCGGGUGCUAACGUCCGUCGUGAAGAGGGAAACAACCCAGACCGCCAGCUAAGGUCCCAAAGUCAUGGUUAAGUGGGAAACGAUGUGGGAAGGCCCAGACAGCCAGGAUGUUGGCUUAGAAGCAGCCAUCAUUUAAAGAAAGCGUAAUAGCUCACUGGUCGAGUCGGCCUGCGCGGAAGAUGUAACGGGGCUAAACCAUGCACCGAAGCUGCGGCAGCGAACGUAUCACUUAAAGCGAUUCAGCGGGUUACGAUUGACGGAGCGAAGCGACGUCAAAGCGUAUACAAAAUCGAGUCGGUUUAAGGAUACGUUCGUUGGGUAGGGGAGCGUUCUGUAAGCCUGUGAAGGUGUGUCGUGAGGCAUGCUGGAGGUA
rnacentral:rRNA from 1 species